rnacentral:sRNA from 1 species
AAACACAGAAUAAGGUUUCAAAUGCUGGGCAGCAAAAAAUGCUGAGAAACGUCCAGUACAGAACUGGGAGAAGGUCUUAACAUCAAGCCGUGACAUGAUUUUCCCUCCUUUGUAGCCCAUAGAUGAGAGCAGCCAGAUGAGUGACCUCCCUGUCAAAGUGACUCACACAGAAACCGGCAAGGUUCUGUUCGGACCAGAAGCACCCAAAGCAAGUCAGCUGGACGCCUGGCUGGAAAUGAAUCCUGGUUAUGAAGUUGCCCCUAGAUCUGACAGUGAAGAGAGUGAUUCUGAUUAUGAGGAAGAGGAUGAGGAAGAAGAGUCCAGUAGGCAGGAAACCGAAGAGAAAAUACUCCUGGAUCCAAAUAGUGAAGAAGUUUCUGAGAAGGAUGCUAAGCAGAUCAUUGAGACAGCUAAGCAAGACGUGGAUGAUGAAUACAGCAUGCAGUACAGUGCCAGGGGCUCCCAGUCCUACUACACCGUGGCUCAUGCCAUCUCGGAGAGGGUGGAGAAACAGUCUGCCCUCCUCAUUAACGGGACCCUAAAGCAUUACCAGCUCCAGGGCCUGGAAUGGAUGGUUUCCCU